rnacentral:rRNA from 1 species
AGGUGAAACCGCGAAUGGCUCAUUAAAUCAGUUGUGGUUCCUGGGAGCCAAUGCUGUCCUACUUGGAUAACUGUGGUAAUUCUAGAGCUAAUACAUGCCUCGAAGCUCGGACCCGCGAGGGAAAGAGCGCAGUUAUUAGAUCAAAACCGAUCGGGCCUUCGGGCCCGUCCCAACCUUGAUGACUCUGGAUAACCACAUGCCGAGCGCAUGGCCUCCGUGCCGGCGCCCUAUCCUUCAAGUGUCUGCCUUAUCAGCUGUCGAUGGUAGGCUAUGCGCCUACCAUGGCUAUCACGGGUAACGGGGAAUCAGGGUUCGAUUCCGGAGAGGGAGCCUGAGAAACGGCUACCACAUCUAAGGAAGGCAGCAGGCACGCAAAUUACCCACUCCCGGCUCGGGGAGGUAGUGACGAAAAAUAACGAUGCGGGACUCUUUACGAGGCCCCGCAAUCGGAAUGAGUACACAUUAAAUCCUUUAACGAGGAUCCAUUGGAGGGCAAGUCUGGUGCCAGCAGCCGCGGUAAUUCCAGCUCCAAUAGCGUAUAUUAAAGUUGCUGCGGUUAAAAAGCUCGUAGUCGAGAGCCUGUGUCGGACCGACGGUGCGCCGCCCGGCGUGACUGUCGGCUUUCCGCACAGCUCGCCGGCCAGCACGGGGUGCUCUUCACCGAGUGUCCCGGGCGGUCGACAAGUUUACUUUGAAAAAAUUAGAGUGCUCAAAGCAGGCCCUAGUGCCCGCAUAUCUGUGCAUGGAAUGAUGGAAUAGGACUUCGGUCUUAUUUUGUUGGUUUUCGAGACCCGAGGUAAUGAUGAAUGGAAUCUGUCGGGGGCAUUCGUAUUGCGACGCUAGAGGUGAAAUUCUUGGACCGUCGCAAGACGAACAACUGCGAAAGCAUUUGCCAAGUAUGCUUUCAUUGAUCAAGAACGAAAGUCAGAGGUUCGAAGGCGAUCAGAUACCGCCCUAGUUCUGACCGUAAACGAUGCCAACUAGCGAUCCGCCGGUGUCAAUACCAUGAUCUGGCGGGCAGCUUCCGGGAAACCAAAGUCUUUGGGUUCCGGGGGAAGUAUGGUUGCAAAGCUGAAACUUAAAGGAAUUGACGGAAGGGCACCACCAGGAGUGGAGCCUGCGGCUUAAUUUGACUCAACACGGGGAACCUCACCAGGCCAGGACGCUGUUAGGAUUGACAGAUUAAGAGCUCUUUCUCGAUUCAGUGGGUGGUGGUGCAUGGCCGUUCUUA